GACGGAGGAUGCAAGUGUUAUCCGGAAUCACUGGGCGUAAAGCGUCUGUAGGUGGUUCAAUAAGUCAACUGUUAAAUCUUGAGGCUCAACUUCAAAAUCGCAGUCGAAACUAUUGGACUCGAGUAUAGUAGGGGUAAAGGGAAUUUCCAGUGGAGCGGUGAAAUGCGUAGAGAUUGGAAAGAACACCAAUGGCGAAAGCACUUUACUGGGCUAUUACCGACACUGAGAGACGAAAGCUAGGGUAGCAAAUGGG
rnacentral:rRNA from 1 species